UAGCUGAAGGUACUAUACGAAUAAGCACCGGCUAACUCCGUGCCAGCAGCCGCGGUAAUACGGAGGGUGCAAGCGUUAUCCGGAUUUAUUGGGUUUUAAAGGGUCCGUAGGCGGACUUAUAAGUCAGUGGUGAAAGCCUGUCGCUUAACGAUAGAACUGCCAUUGAUACUGUAAGUCUUGAGUAUAUUUGAGGUAGCUGGAAUAAGUAGUGUAGCGGUGAAAAUGCAUAGAUAUUACUUAGAACACCAAUUGCGAAGGCAGGUUACCAAGAUAUAACUGACGCUGAGGGACGAAAGCGUGGGGGAGCGAACAGGAUUAGAUACCCCUGGUAG
rnacentral:rRNA from 1 species